GGCAGACGGGUGAGUAACACGUGGGUAACCUGCCCCUUGAGUGGGGAAUAACCCAGGGAAACUUGGGCUAAUACCGCAUAACAUCGCUUUCUCUCUGGGGAGGGCGGUUAAAGGUGGGGAUCGCAAGACCUACCGCUUAGGGAGGGGCCCGCGUCUGAUUAGCUUGUUGGUGGGGUAAAGGCCUACCAAGGCUUCGAUCGGUAGCCGGCCUGAGAGGGUGAUCGGCCACACUGGAACUGAGACACGGUCCAG
rnacentral:rRNA from 1 species